CAGAGAAAUUGCCCUUCGGGGUAGAUCUCCCACCCUUUGUCUACAUUACCUUUGUUGCUUUGGCAGGCCCGUCUUUUGACCACUGGCUUAGGCUGGUCAGUGUCUGCCAGAGGACCUCAAACUCUUAAUAUUUUGUUGUCUGAGUACUAUAUAAUAAGUUA
rnacentral:misc_RNA from 1 species